GACAGAGGGUGCAAACGUUGCUCGGAAUUACUGGGCGUAAAGCGCGUGUAGGCGGACACGCAAGUCAGGUGUGAAAUCCCUGGGCUCAACCCAGGAACUGCAUCAGAAACUGCGUGUCUAGAGUGUCGGAGAGGGAAGCGGAAUUCCUGGUGUAGAGGUGAAAUUCGUAGAUAUCAGGAGGAACACCGGUGGCGAAGGCGGCUUCCUGGACGACUACUGACGCUGAGACGCGAAAGCGUGGGGAGCAAACAGG
rnacentral:misc_RNA from 1 species